CACACUGGACUGAGACACGGUCCAGACUCCUACGGGAGGCAGCAGUGGGGAAUAUUGCACAAUGGGCGCAAGCCUGAUGCAGCCAUGCCGCGUGUGUGAAGAAGGCCUUCGGGUUGUAAAGCACUUUCAGUCGUGAGGAAGGUAGUGUAGUUAAUAGCUGCAUUAUUUGACGUUAGCGACAGAAGAAGCACCGGCUAACUCCGUGCCAGCAGCCGCGGUAAUACGGAGGGUGCGAGCGUUAAUCGGAAUUACUGGGCGUAAAGCGCAUGCAGGUGGUUUGUUAAGUCAGAUGUGAAAGCCCGGGGCUCAACCUCGGAAUWGCAUUUGAAACUGGCAGACUAGAGUACUGUAGAGGGGGGUAGAAUUUCAGGUGUAGCGGUGAAAUGCGUAGAGAUCUGAAGGAAUACCGGUGGCGAAGGCGGCCCCCUGGACAGAUACUGACACUCAGAUGCGAAAGCGUGGGGAGCAAACAGGAUUAGAUACCCUGGUAGUCCACGCCGUAAACGAUGUCUACUUGGAGGUUGUGGCCUUGAGCCGUGGCUUUCGGAGCUAACGCGUUAAGUAGACCGCCUGGGGAGUACGGUCGCAAGAUUAAAACUCAAAUGAAUUGACGGGGGCCCGCACAAGCGGUGGAGCAUGUGGUUUAAUUCGAUGCAACGCGAAGAACCUUACCUACUCUUGACA
rnacentral:rRNA from 1 species